ACCUUACUACUUGGAUAACCGUGGUAAUUCUAGAGCUAAUACAUGCUGAAAAGCCCGACUUCGGAAGGGUUGUAUUUAUUAGAUAAAAAACCAAUGCUCUUUGGUGAUUCAUAAUAACUUCUCAGAUCGCACGGCCUUGCGCCGGCGACGGUUCAUUCAAAUUUCUGCCCUAUCAACUUUCGAUGGUACGGUAUUGGCCUACCAUGGUUUCAACGGGUAACAGGGAAUUAGGGUUCGAUUCUGGAGAGCGAGCCUGAGAGACGGCUAGCACAUCCAAGGAAGGCAGCAGGCGCGCAAAUUACUCAAUGCCGACACGGCGAAGUAGUGACAAUAAAUACUGAUACAGGGCUCUUUUGGGUCUUGUAAUUGGAAUGAGUACAAUUUAAACCUCUUAACGAGGAACAAUUGGAGGGCAAGUCUGGUGGAUCCUGUCUGCUGACGCCAGCAAUAGCCGGGCAUUUCUCAGCGAGAGUGCAAAGCCGGGCUCGUAGUUGAACCUUUGGCCUGGCUGGCAGGUCCGCCUCACCGCGUGCACUUGACCGGCCGGGCCUUCUUCUCUGGAGAACCGCAUGCCCUUCACUGUGGUGUGCUGGGGACCAGGACUUUUACUUUGAAAAAAUUAGAGUGUUCAAAGCAGGCCUUUGCUCGAAUACGUUAGCAUGGAAUAAUAAAAUAGGACGGCAGUUCUAUUUUGUUGGUUUCUAGGACCGCCGUAAUGAUUAAUAGGGACAGUCGGGGGCGUCAGUAUUCAAUUGUCAGAGGUGAAAUUCUUGGAUCAAUUGAAGACUAACUACUGCGAAAGCAUUCGCCAAGGAUGUUUUCAUUAAUCAGUGAACGAAAGUUAGGGGAUCGAAGACGAUCAGAUACCGUCGUAGUCUUAACCAUAA
rnacentral:rRNA from 1 species